rnacentral:misc_RNA from 1 species
CAAAAACAACAGAAACAGUGAGAGAUCUAUCUGCUGAGAGUGCACCACAAUCACUUAAAAAUGGCAUAAAAAGCCCAAACCCCAGAACGUCCCUGUUCGCGGUUCUGCUACAUGAUACAGACAAACAAACUUUGAUCUCAAAACCCAUCAAAAUACAAUCACCACCAAGUCCAAAGUACAUUUCUUUUUCUAGUGUAUGCGAUACCCACGUAGAAGGAUAGCGAGGGAAGAGAAGGAGAGAGAACAGCAAUGGAAGAAGAGGGAGUGGAGGUGGUAUUGGCUAGAGCCAUAGAGUUGAGGUUGAAGAUCAGCAAUUGCAUCCACAAACCAAGCACCAGCAUCAACAAUACCAGUGGCAACUCUAUUUCUUCUAAGCAAAACAAACAAGAAAAAGAAUGUGUUGAAGAGGGUGUGAUUGUGAAGGGAGAGAAGGAAAAGAACCCUAAUUCUCAGUCUCUUAAUGGGGGGUCACUGAGUGAAGCAGACAAAGAAGAUGAAGAGACUGAGAGGCUUUUUAUAAUCCGCGAUGCUCUUGAAUCCCCUUCGUACUCCUUUAGCUUAUCCAAUAACAUCUUGCGGCUCUGCUCAAAAGAAGUUGCCCUCAGCGAGAUUGAGCAGAGCCGCAAGAUGUUAUUGGAUAAGCU